rnacentral:misc_RNA from 1 species
CGCAGCCGCGGUAAUUCCAGCUCCAAUAGCGUAUAUUAAAGUUGUUGCAGUUAAAAAGCUCGUAGUUGAAUUUCGGGAUCAAUUAAUUGGUCGUGCCUCUGGUACGUACUGAUUUUAUUGGUUUCUCCCUUCUGACGAACCAUGACGUCAUUAAUUUGGUGUCGUGGAGAAUCAGGACUGUUACUUUGAAAAAAUUAGAGUGUUUAAAGCAAGCUAACGCUUGAAUACAUUAGCAUGGAAUAAUGAAAUAGGACGUUUGAUCCUAUUUUGUUGGUUUCUAGGAUCGACGUAAUGAUUAAUAGGGAUAGUUGGGGGCAUUAGUAUUCAAUUGUCAGAGGUGAAAUUCUUGGAUUUAUUGAAGACUAACUACUGCGAAAGCAUUUGCCAAGGAUGUUUUCAUUAAUCAAGAACGAAAGUUAGGGGAUCGAAGACGAUCAGAUACCGUCGUAGUCUUAACCAUAAACUAUGCCGACUAGGGAUCGGAUGAUGUUAAUUUUUAAUGACUCAUUCGGCGCCUUAC